UGAUAUGUUCAUCCAACUCAAAAUAUUGUAAGACAAGAAAAAGUGACCGUUCUUCAUAUGCCCAAAACUCCCAUGUUUUCCAUUGGUCAACCACCAACCAAAGCUCUAUCUAAUUCUUCACGAAUUGUACAAGAAGGAAUCUCUUUCUUUCCGGGAUUUUGAUUAAAAAAGAAAUCUUACAUGCCUCAACUUGAUAAAUUCAC
rnacentral:lncRNA from 1 species